UGGGGAAUUUUCCGCAAUGGGCGAAAGCCUGACGCAGCCAUGCCGCGUGUGUGAAGAAGGCCUUCGGGUUGUAAAGCACUUUCAAUUGGGAGGAAAGGUUCACGACUAAUACUCGUGAGCUGUGACGUUACCUUUAGAAGAAGCACCGGCUAACUCCGUGCCAGCAGCCGCGGUAAUACGGAGGGUGCGAGCGUUAAUCGGAAUUACUGGGCGUAAAGCGCGCGUAGGUGGUCUGUUAAGUCGGAUGUGAAAGCCCCGGGCUCAACCUGGGAACUGCACCCGAUACUGGCAGACUAGAGUGCGGGAGAGGGAGGUAGAAUUCCACGUGUAGCGGUGAAAUGCGUAGAUAUGUGGAGGAAUACCAGUGGCGAAGGCGGCCUCCUGGCUCGACACUGACACUGAGGUGCGAAAGCGUGGGGAGCAAACAGG
rnacentral:rRNA from 1 species